UUAACUGAGAUUUGUAUGGAGUUGGCACGUUUGCCUACGUUUGCCGCUAGGGGCGCUGUUCCGACUGCAUACAAAUUUAAGUUA
rnacentral:pre_miRNA from 1 species